rnacentral:SRP_RNA from 1 species
AAACGGUAGGUCGGGCGGCUUGGGGUCGCCUCUUUCCGGAAAUCCUCGUGAAGCCGGAGCCGUCAACCAGUGAGCGGCGUUCUGUCUUGCUUCGGCCCCUUUACCGAUUGUUGAUGGUCCGUCCUCUGGGAGUCUGCAUGGUGUGAACCGGGUCAGACCCUGACGGGAGCAACCCUAAGCAUUGUGUAGGCUGUUCGGAGGGUGGCGGACCUGAGAUCGGUUAGGGAUUCCCUGAAGCAUUUCAGGCGUCCACCACUGGAAACCACUA